rnacentral:rRNA from 1 species
AUUGAACGCUGGCGGCAGGCCUAACACAUGCAAGUCGAACGGUAACAGAAAGCAGCUUGCUGCUUUGCUGACGAGUGGCGGACGGGUGAGUAAUGUCUGGGAAACUGCCUGAUGGAGGGGGAUAACUACUGGAAACGGUAGCUAAUACCGCAUAACGUCGCAAGACCAAAGAGGGGGACCUUCGGGCCUCUUGCCAUGGGAUGUGCCCAGAUGGGAUUAGCUAGUAGGUGGGGUAACGGCUCACCUAGGCGACGAUCCCUAGCUGGUCUGAGAGGAUGACCAGCCACACUGGAACUGAGACACGGUCCAGACUCCUACGGGAGGCAGCAGUGGGGAAUAUUGCACAAUGGGCGCAAGCCUGAUGCAGCCAUGCCGCGUGUAUGAAGAAGGCCUUCGGGUUGUAAAGUACUUUCAGCGAGGAGGAAGGUGUUGUGGUUAAUAACCACAGCAAUUGACGUUACUCGCAGAAGAAGCACCGGCUAACUCCGUGCCAGCAGCCGCCGUAA